UUUUCAAAUAUCUUAUUCAUGUUCAUGUUCUGAUAUCUUUAUCCACUAACUCCUUUGCUUGUACCUGAAAUUGUAGAUUGAUAAACAUUUUGGGUGUUAUAGAGUGUCCCAACGUCUCUUUUUAUCUCUGGAAUUUUGAUGUCUUCCUAUCGACAUAUCUUUACACACUACUGAGUUAUCUGAUCAUAUCUUUAAACUUUAGUUUAACUUCGUUAGUCUUUAGCUUUUCUAUUUCAUUACCCAUACUGUCCACUUUCAUUGAAAGCGUAGUUAGGGUUUUGAGUAUCUUUUCUAAAGCAUCAUCUUCUAUUAUAUCAGUCUGUGUAGCUUUGUCUUAAUAUGUAAUCUGC
rnacentral:lncRNA from 1 species